rnacentral:rRNA from 1 species
UACGGAGGGUGCAAGCGUUGCUCGGAAUCACUGGGCGUAAAGCGACCGCAGGCGGCCUGACAAGUCGGAUGUGAAAGCCCUGGGCUCAACCCAGGAACUGCACCUGAAACUACCAGUCUUGAGUGGUGGAGAGGGAAGUGGAAUUCCUGGUGUAGAGGUGAAAUUCGUAGAUAUCAGGAGGAACACCAGUGGCGAAGGCGGCUUCCUGGACACCAACUGACGCUGAGACGCGAAAGCGUGGGGAGCAAACAGG